AGCAGUAAGAGUUUGAUCCUGGCUCAGAUUGAACGCUGGCGGCGUGCCUAACACAUGCAAGUCGAGCGGUAACAGGUGUAGCAAUACAUGCUGACGAGCGGCGGACGGGUGAGUAACGCUUGGGAAUCUGCCUGAUAGUGGGGGACAACCCGGGGAAACUCGGGCUAAUACCGCAUACGCACUACGGUGGAAAGCCGGGGACCGCAAGGCCUGGCGCUAACAGAUGAGCCCAAGUCGGAUUAGCUAGUUGGUAGGGUAAUGGCCUACCAAGGCGACGAUCCGUAACUGGUCUGAGAGGACGACCAGUCACACCGGAACUGAGACACGGUCCGGACUCCUACGGGAGGCAGCAGUGGGGAAUAUUGGACAAUGGGCGAAAGCCUGAUCCAGCGACGCCGCGUGGGUGAAGAAGGCCUGCGGGUUGUAAAGCCCUUUCGGUGGGGAAGAAAAGCCUCGAGCUAACACCUCGGGGUCUUGACGUAACCCAUAGAAGAAGCACCGGCUAACUCUGUGCCAGCCGCCGCGGUAAUUC
rnacentral:rRNA from 1 species